GGGUAUAUAUAACAUGAUCGAAGCUGUGUAACACAAAAUUAAGGUUAAGGGUUAGGUGCCGCGAAUUUGGCAUUUAUCAUGUUGAUAAAUUCGGACGCGUUUAACAAUUUACUCGUAUAGUAAAAUUCAAAUGUGGAACUCAUGCUGUAAAUUACACUAUACGUAUAAUCUUGAUCAAAAAAUUUUCACGACAUAUGGCGCCGGAAAAUUGGCGCCGGAAAUUUGGUGCCGGAAAAAAUUUUGCGGACAUAAAAUCGUUUAUUUUUUUCCGACAAUUUUCUUAAUUUUUUGAGAGUUUUAGAUGUAUUAUUCAUCUGGGUACUGGGAUUUAUAUUCUGAGUUCAUCAAUCUUGCAUCAAUAAAUUUUAAGGGUCCCUUGUUUUGCGAGCCCCGCCCGAGAUAAAGUUCCACUCUGCCUCUCUCUCGGCGAUCCUGCAUGCAGUAGAUGGAAAUUUAUAACGAAAGAUUCAAUAUAUACAAUUUUAGACUUAACUACAGACUUAACUACAGGAGCAGCUGCGAAAAUGCUGUCAACUGACAGGAAUCGAACCUGUGGCUAAAUAUAGAGAUUUUUGGGAAUAUGACGCUGUAAAUCUCAAUUUGCGCUUGGGAUUUUUCUUGAAAUUUGUGCUUGAAAUUUCCAUCCUACAUAAAUCUUUCAAUCUGUUCAUAUUUUAUAUAAUGGCAUCACUUGUAC